rnacentral:misc_RNA from 1 species
GAUGAAGAACGUAGCGAAAUGCGAUACUUGGUGUGAAUUGCAGAAUCCCGUGAACCAUCGAGUCUUUGAACGCAAGUUGCGCCCGAAGCCAUUAGGCCGAGGGCACGCCUGCCUGGGCGUCACACGUCGUUGCCCCCCCAUCUACUCCUUCGGGAUUGCGGGGGGCGGAUGAUGGCCUCCCGUGCGCCUCGCCGCGCGGUUGGCAUAAAUGCCAAGUCCUCGGCGAUGCACGCCACGACAAUCGGUGGUUGCGAAACCUCGGUUGCCCGUCGUGUGCGGUCGUCGCGCAUCGAGGGCUCGAAAAAAUUGCCGGGUUCCGGCUCGGCUUUCAACGCGACCCCAGGUCAGGCGGGGUUACCCGCUGAAUUUAAGCAUAUCAAUAAGCGGAGGA